GACGAACGCUGACGGUGUGCUUUAGACAUGCAAGUCGAACGAGAAAGCCCUUCGGGGUGUGUAAAGUGGCGAACGGGUGAGUAACACGUGGGUAACCUGCCCCUCGCAGAGGGAUAACCGGGGGAAACCCCAGCUAAUACCUCGUACGCUUGCCGGGUCGCAUGGCUCGGCAAGGAAAGGUAGCUUCGGCCAUCCGGCGAGGGAUGGGCCCGCGGUCCAUUAGCUAGUUGGUGGGGUAACGGCCCACCAAGGCGACGAUGGAUAGCUGGUCUGAGAGGAUGAUCAGCCACACUGGGACUGAGACACGGCCCAGACUCCUACGGGAGGCAGCAGUCGGGAAUCUUGCGCAAUGGGCGAAAGCCUGACGCAGCAACACCGUGUGGGCGACGAAGGCCUUCGGGUCGUAAAGCCCUGUUGUUGGGGACGAAGGACGAAGGGUUAAUAGCCCCUAGUCUGAUGGUACCCUUCGAGGAAGCCCCGGCUAACUACGUGCCAGCCGCCGCGGUAACAC
rnacentral:rRNA from 1 species